GCGUCAGGCCGGGCGGCCCUUUACGGGGGCUGCGGGGCAUUAAAACAAGGGCCGGGCCGCUUAGAAACGACGGUAACUUGGUCCCUGUUGGAUUGGACUGGCAAGAAAAGCGAAGCCGAAUUCGUAAGACAACAGUCGACUCGCUCUUAAAAUACCCUUGGGCUGUUCAGUCCCCGGUACUGUGCUGUCAGAGCAGGAAUAAAGCUCACGUCGUGAGCGGGUGCUGGACUGAUUCCAAAGGGCUGUAUACCUGUUUCCACUUUGUACUGUGCUCAAGGUAGCCCGUGGGAGGGCUGUCGUGGUAACAGGCAGUCGUUAAUAGAGAGGGGCUAUCUGAAGCUGUCUGUUUAAAGCUUUUUUUUUUUUUUUAGGCAUGACAUUGUUAACGAGAAUAUUUUUAUUUAUAUCCUGAAGUUAUUUUGGAUUUGGCAUCUGAAAUAUUUUAUGUGGUAGUAUCAUUUUUUUUUUUUUUUUUUUUUUUUUAAGCUUUUCUCUUUAACCUUGACCUUUUGCUCUUUUGCAGUUCUGUGAAACUGUGAAGAUGAUUAUUCGGGACCAGAGGAGUGUUCUUGCUUCAGUGCUCGUGGGAUUGGCAUCAAUAGUCUGCCUAGACCCCACAGCUGUUUGAAGAUUGGAUUCUUGAACUGUAAUGCUCCCUGGCCUGUGUUGUCCCAAGUGAAAGAGCACUUGUUACCAUGGGCUGCAACUGGUGUCAUGAAACAGUCAAGAAGUAUGGACGAUCAUGUACAAGUACACGGACCUGUGCUCCGAUCUUUAGUUGGUUACUCUGACCAGAAUUUUAAGGCCCCAGUGAGGUUCUGAGUGGGGACUAGACCUCAGACUUCUCCAGGAACUAGAAACACCCAGACUGGGACGUUUUUGACUUUGUCACAACACAAACUGCAGUCAUUCAGGAAACUUCCAGGUAAAAAUAAAGAAGUGACUCAGGUUAGAUCA
rnacentral:lncRNA from 1 species